AGUGAACGCUGGCGGUAGGCCUAACACAUGCAAGUCGAACGGCAGCACAGUAAGAGCUUGCUCUUACGGGUGGCGAGUGGCGGACGGGUGAGGAAUACAUCGGAAUCUACUUUUUCGUGGGGGAUAACGUAGGGAAACUUACGCUAAUACCGCAUACGACCUACGGGUGAAAGCAGGGGAUCUUCGGACCUUGCGCGAUUGAAUGAGCCGAUGUCGGAUUAGCUAGUUGGCGGGGUAAAGGCCCACCAAGGCGACGAUCCGUAGCUGGUCUGAGAGGAUGAUCAGCCACCCUGGAACUGAGACACGGUCCAGACUCCUACGGGAGGCAGCAGUGGGGAAUAUUUGACAAUUGGCGCAAGCCUGAUCCAGCCAUACCGCGUUGGUGAAGAAGGCCUUCGGGUUGUAAAGCCCUUUUUUUGGGAAAGAAAAGCAGCAGGUUAAUACCCCGCUGUUCUGACGGUACCCAAAGAAUAAGCACCGGCUAACUUCGUG
rnacentral:rRNA from 1 species